AUUGAACGCUGGCGGCAUGCCUUACACAUGCAAGUCGAACGGCAGCAUGAUCUAGCUUGCUAGAUUGAUGGCGAGUGGCGAACGGGUGAGUAAUACAUCGGAACGUGCCCUGUAGUGGGGGAUAACUAGUCGAAAGAUUAGCUAAUACCGCAUACGACCUGAGGGUGAAAGUGGGGGACCGCAAGGCCUCAUGCUAUAGGAGCGGCCGAUGUCUGAUUAGCUAGUUGGUGAGGUAAAGGCUCACCAAGGCGACGAUCAGUAGCUGGUCUGAGAGGACGAUCAGCCACACUGGGACUGAGACACGGCCCAGACUCCUACGGGAGGCAGCAGUGGGGAAUUUUGGACAAUGGGGGCAACCCUGAUCCAGCAAUGCCGCGUGUGUGAAGAAGGCCUUCGGGUUGUAAAGCACUUUUGUCCGGAAAGAAAUCGCACUUACUAAUAUUAGGUGUGGAUG
rnacentral:rRNA from 1 species